rnacentral:lncRNA from 1 species
CUUCAUUUAAAAAUCCCAAUUCACCAUUACAACACUGACUUCAGUAGCGAUUGCCUCAGUCUUCCCAAAACUCUACGAAGAAGAAAAAUCCAAAUUCUAUGUCUUUCCUUCCCCGACCCGAAGCAUGAAGCUCCUCUCUCUAAUUCCCUUGAUCUUCAAAAAAAAAAAAAACUCCAAUGAAACCCGAACUGGUAACCUUCCAAAAGCUUGAAAACUAGCUCCCCCCCGAUUCCUCCGAAAGAAAAAAACCUCCCUCCUCAAAACUAUAUCCCCC